GUAUUUAUCGCCAAGGCUUCUGAGUUCCUGUCACACCUUCCAUUUUAAGAUUUGGGCAACCAGAGACCGUGGCAUCACCAAGUCAGCCUCUACUAGUGAGUUUCAUAUGGAGAUCCAGCUGCAAAUUAAACCUGCCCUGCCUUAAUAGAACCUGUGGACAGGGGGAUUGCUGAAAAUACUACAUGCCCUCACUUGAGCUCAAUACUCCUGGAAUGCAGCCAACUCCACUGGCACAGGUUUUGGGGGCUGAUCCCCCUUCACAAUUCUUCUCUUCGUAUCUAUUAAAGAGGAAGAUGGAGCAGACCUUCAGGUCAGCCAAAGCUACAGAGAUUUUUGGUGUGUGGUCAUACGGCUGUUGUGCACAGCAAGGUGUUCUGUAGAAUGGCAUGAUGUAGCAGUGAUGAU